rnacentral:rRNA from 1 species
UACGGUCAUAUCGCGUUUUAACACCGGUUCUCGUACGAUCACCGAAGUUAAGCAACGUCGAAACUGGUCAGUAGCUAGAUGGGUAAUCGCUUGGGAAUACCUGGC